CAAAGAAAUGGGGAGCUCCAGCACG
rnacentral:misc_RNA from 1 species